CAGCAGAUUUCCUUGAGUUUUAAGAACAGAUGCACCGGUGGUGGUCGAAGGGUGGGGGCGGUGCGAUGGUGGAGGCACUCGCCAGUCCAGGGCCCACUUGUUCGACGAUCGUCUUGUCACUCGAAAGUGCGUUACCAUUCUGGCAACAUCGGGUUCAUGUGUCUAUUUCUUGUCCAAUCUUGUGCUCUUUCAUUGUGUCAGUAUUUUACAAUUCAUCUGCUUCAUCAAUUCAUGAACUAUUCAAAUCUUAUUUUAUUCCUUAUUAUUGUGUGGAAGUGUAAACUAAGUGACUUUGGACAUUUAAGUGCAUUCUGAAUAUGAUAUAAUAAAAAGAAUGCUUUAAAAAAAUUAUAAAAAAUAGAAUAGAUUAUUUCUUCUUUUAUGAAUUUAUUAUAUAUUAAAAAAAAAUGCCUACGGAAACGUUUUCAAGAGAGUUAGAUGCUCAUAUUGUGACCUUACUUACGAGGAUCUCUUCGUUAAAGGAAAAUAAUACAGAACUCUUAGAGAAGAAAGCGCCUAUGUCUAUAGAAGCUCGCAGCUUAGAACUUUGGAGAGCAGUGGCUGUCGAGUGUUUCGCUACUUUUCUUUUCAGUCUUAUCGUAUCUGGCGCAGCUGCGUCUUCCGCGGUUUCUGGAAGCGGACUUUCCGUCUUAGCCACUGCUGUAGCAUCCGGCUUUGCAAUUUCGGCAAUCUGCUUCAUCUUUGGUCAUAUCAGUGGUAGUCACGUGAAUCCAGCUGUCUCAGUGUCUUUCGCUUUAUGUCGACGAAUCUCUCUCCUACGAGCUGCUCUCUAUAUUGCUGCACAGUGUGGAGGUGGUAUAGCCGGUGCUGCAAUGCUGUACGGGGUAACCACUCCUUCCAACACGCAGACUUUGACUUCCCUAGGUCGUCUCGGAGGACCUAUUGAGAGGCUUCUUGUAGAAUUGACGCUUUCGGUGCUUAUAGUUCUCGCCCAUUUCACGUCAGAAUCCACGAAAACGUUGCCAAUGUUAGUUUCUUCAAAACCAGCCGGUGUAUUGGCCGCGGCCUACACGGCGGCUACUUUAGUUUCAAGCCCGUUUUUAAAUCCCGCCCGGGCGCUUGGGCCGGCGUUCGUGAGCAACCGUUGGGACAACCACUGGGUUUACUGGGUGGGCCCGUUGUCGGGAAGCGCGGUAGCGGCCCUCCUCCACGAAUACGUUCUGAAUUCCAAACGGUCCAGGGAUCCACGGGAUAUGGACGACGGGGAUAAUUCGUCAAUGAGAUCCGACGAGGACACUUACGACGAUUUGGACAAACCGUCCGGCCCAAAAUUCUCGAGCGCUUACGCGACUUAUCGGCCGGUCGCCGGAGCGUCCUCGUCGAUCUACAGCGCUCCCCCCACUGCCUUGGAACGCGUCGAAUCCAUUUACGGUGGGACGAAAUCCCUCUAUUGUAAGUCACCACCCUUGACCAGGGCGAAUCUGAACCGUUCGCAAAGCGUGUACGCGAAAUCGAGUUCCGGGACGCGGGACGGCCUGAUGAUCCCAAAACCGGGCCCCUUGGCCCCCGCGCAGAGCUUGUACCCGAUCAGGAUAGGGCAGACCGGGUCGGGCUCGGGCAGGGAGAGCCAACAGCAAAAUGGUCAAAAUCAAAAUUCUCAAAAUCACAACAGCACGAAUCAGAACAUGCAAAAUCAAUUGCAACAGUGCACGCAAAGUAUUUACGGGAUCAGAGGGAUCUCCACAACUCUCAGUACAAGGGAGAACGGUAUCUACGGCGUGACCACGGGGUCCAGUAUAUACGGGAGGGCUCCAGCCCCUCCUCCGAGCAGUCAAAAUUCUCAACAAUCGGGUUCGAACGUCCAGCCUUCGGCCCAAAAUCAUCAUCAGCAGCAGCAACAGCAGCAGCAGCAGCAACAGCAGCAGCAACAACAUCAGAAUGGAACAUUAUCCAGCAACUCGGACAACGCGGUGAACUCUAGAAGACCGGAAAGUAUGUACGGGCACGUCUCUAGACGAAGUGACGAUUCUGCGUAUGGUAGUUAUCAAGGAUCGACGCGAGGGAAUUAUGGAAAGAUACCUGGACCUCCUGGAUCAACAGGACCCUCUAACGGGUCAACCGGCCCUCCCCAGUAUCGCGAGCAAGGAAGGCCUAGUCCAGCUGGGCCGUUGCAACAAAAUCAACAAAAUAGUUUCCAAAGAAAUUCGCCAAAUCCUCAAUACUGACUGUAAAUUUCAUAAAUUUGGUGAUAAAUAAUUGGUGUAAGAUGUAUGGUAAAGAUGGUGGACACGUCUGCUGCUGUACUACCUACCUUUAUGAAGAGUUAUUCAGAGUUGUUGAAUAAAAAUGGAUAUGAUAAAUUUUUGUUUUAGGAACAAAAGGAGAUAUCGCAGUGCCAUUUUAUAUAUUGUUAUCAAAGAAUGUAGAGGACAAUUGCAGAAAAUGCUUGAUACCGAAGUUGUCAUGUUCCACGGAUCUUGGAAUAAUAUUGUAAUUAUAUUCAUCAAUUUCUUCAAAGUGAGAGUGCAGGAUUUAGCUGAGGUUUUUUCUAGUAGCAAUUUUUAAUAUAUUAUAUUUUAAAAAACUUAUUAUAAAGUCAGUACAUAUUUACAAUUAUUAUGUAAAAUAAUUUAAUGUAAUAGGAAAAUGUAACGAAUAUUCAUCGAAGAAUAUAGAAAUCGAUAGAACUCAAUACAAGUAUUUUGUAUAUAUAUAUUAAAUUUUAUAUUUAUUAUUUUUAUUGUAGAUUAUAGAAAUGUAGAAUUAUUGUUACAUUCAUUUUGUGCAUGGAAGUAGGAAAAAAACUUGACAAUAAACGACUUAAAAAAAU